rnacentral:tRNA from 1 species
GGGCCCAUAAGUUAAUGGAUAGACUUCCUGGCUUCGGACCGGGCAAUCGGGGUUCGAUUCCUCGUGGGCCCG